rnacentral:misc_RNA from 1 species
AUGAAAGAGUUUUAUUAUUUUUGUUGACAUUGAAAGCAAAUAUCCAUACAAUUCAUCAAUUAAGUUCCAAGGCAUCAAACAAUAAUUAAUUUCUUAUUAAAAGAUCUUCAAAUUUCCUUAGAAGCAAUUUCUGUAGAACCAAAGCAUCCAAAAAUCCACAAUGCAAAACAGCACCUCAUCCUUUUUUCUUUUUAUCUUAUUUUAUUCCCAAUCAUAUUGCAAAUACCCACAAGUUUCUACCCUUCUAGCCUUCAAAUAAACAUAAAUACCAGCUUAUCAAAGUUGUCUUGCAUCGCUUUUACCAAAUGAUUGUCUAGAAAAGGCAUUCUAGUCAAUGCAGAAACAUUCAAUCCUAUCCUUCUCAAAAGGUCUCUACGAAACAGAACAGCAUUAAGAAUUAUCCUAUCCGAUGCUUUCCGUUGUGACCUAUGUCUAUAUCAAUAUGAGCCAUAACCAAAUCGCAAAAAUAGAAUCCCAAAUGAGAUCCUCCAACAAAUCCAGUGCCAAACUCAUUAUGCAAUAAUUCUUUUCACAAACUAUCAAAUCCUCCUGACUCUGCCUUUCUUUUUUUAAUCAGUAGAGUAUAUAUCCAUUAACAAAUGCACAUCAAAAU